rnacentral:lncRNA from 1 species
UGGUGAGAUGGAGAGGACUUGUGCUCAGAGCCAGACAGAUAUGAAUUCAAAUCCCAGUUCUGUUCCUUGCCCGUUGGGUGCCCUUGGGUAAGGGACCUGCUGCUGGGAGCCGGGAGAGAAGUUUUCCGUAAAGAUAACUUUGCAGGCUGCAUUCCUGAGCCCUGAGGUCACCUGUGUCACACUGUCCCAAUGUCAGCUCCCAGGGAACUUUCUCCUGGCUAUUCCCAGGGCUGAGGGCUACAUCCCUGCCUCCCCAUUCUCUCUCCCUCCUGCCCCUGACUUACCAGACACCUCCACGUAUCCAUCUUUGGUCUUCACCAUCAACUCCUCUGGCUUGAAGCUGUGCACAUUCACACACACUUUCCAGGGCUCCCCAGGGAAGGGUGGGGGGGUCCUGCCCUCGGCAGGCACCCCAAACCUG